CGUAGGGUGCGAGCGUUAAUCGGAAUUACUGGGCGUAAAGCGCGCGCAGGCGGUUUGUUAAGAUAGGCGUGAAAUCCCCGGGCUCAACCUGGGAACUGCGCUUAUGACUGGCAAGCUAGAGUACGGCAGAGGGGGUGGAAUUCCACGUGUAGCAGUGGAAUGCGUAGAGAUGUGGAGGAACACCAAUGGCGAAGGCAGCCCCCUGGGUCGAUACUGACGCUCAUGCACGAAAGCGUGGGUAGCAAACAGGAUUAGAUACCCUGGUAGUCCACGCCCUAAACGAUGUCAACUAGGUGUUGGGAGGGUAAAACCUUUUAGUACCGGAGCUAACGCGUGAAGUUGACCGCCUGGGGAGUACGGCCGCAAGGUUA
rnacentral:rRNA from 1 species